rnacentral:rRNA from 1 species
GAGUGAGCGGCAAGAGCUCAGAUUUGAAAUCGCCUCGGCGAGUUGUAAAUUGCAGGUUGGAGUCUUUGUGGCGGCGUGUGUCUAAGUCCCUUGGAACAGGGCGCCAUUGAGGGUGAGAGCCCCGUGCGGCACGCGUCUAAGCUUUAAGACCCUUCUGACGAGUCGAGUUGUUUGGGAAUGCAGCUCUAAGUGGGUGGUAAAUUCCAUCUAAGGCUAAAUACUGGCGAGAGACCGAUAGCGAACAAGUACUGUGAAGGAAAGAUGAAAAGCACUUUGAAAAGAGAGUGAAACAGCACGUGAAAUUGUUGAAAGGGAAGGGUAUUGGGCUCGACAUGGGGACUGCGCACCGUUGCUUCUUGUAGGCGGCGCUCUGUGCGGUUUCUGGGCCAGCAUCAGUUUUUGCCGCGGGAGAAUGGGGGGAGGAACGUGGCUCUUCGGAGUGUUAUAGCCUCUCUCAGAUGCCGCGAGCGGGGACUGAGGUCUGCGAUUCGUUCAAGGAUGCUGGCACAACGGCGCAAUACCGCCCGUCUUGA